AUGAGCCAUUCGCAGUUUCACUGUACCGCCCGUGUGCACUUAGACAUGCAUGGCUUAAUCUUUGAGACAAGCAUAUGCUACUGGCAGGAUCAACCAGGUAGCCGCGCCCCGGGGCGCACCGCCCGACGCCAGGCGAACCCCUCUUGGUGGGGAAGGGCGCCGAGCACCCGACCCCGGCGGUCCCCGCCGGCCUUCCCCGCGUGGGGAAGGAGCGGCGACCGCUGCGCAGCUUUUUUCGGCGGCGCGCUCCGGGCUCCUCUCCCGCCGGAGCUGGACGGCGCGUGCGCGCAGUGCGCCGCCACAGCAGCCGGGGCUGACCCGCCCUCCGCGGCCGACCGGCGGCGACGCGCCGGGGACGACGGCUCCCGCCGCCGCGGCGGGAGCGACAGACGUGCUAGAGGAGAACGCGACCUCGAGGCAGGCACGAGUCCCCGACCGGGGCACCCACAAACCGGGGACGGCGCGCUCCGCGGCGGGCAGGGGACGCGGCCACGAAAAGCGCGCACACGGCUGCGGCAGCCCCAACGCGGCAGGGGGACACCCCCCCACACUCGCCGUUCCACAACCCGGAGGCGGGACGCGCCGCGCGGCUCUCUCGCUUUCUUCUCUCCCUCACGCUUUCCGCAUCGCUUGCCACCCCCACCGGCUUGCUGCUCGCGGCCGGCACCCGCCGGGCCCCGGACCGACGCCGGUACCAGUGCCUCGCGCAACGCUCACGGACCCCUGCGGCUCAUGGGGCCGCUCGGCCGUCACACAGCCGGGUUCCGCCGGAAAAGCCCCUUCGUUUGGCGCGGAGAACGACGGCCGACGAGCGACCGGGGCACAGGCCCUAAACGCCGCCGCCGCUCUCGCCCCGAGCGAGGCAGCGCCUCACCUGCGACGGGAAGCGAGCUGGAGAGGAGGCCGCCCGUGCCUGAACACCGGACACCGCCGCGGCUCCCCUGGGACAGGGGAGCGCAGAAGAGCUGGCCCGCCGGGGGCCCUCUCCGACGCGACCCUAAUGGCCUCAUCGAUCAGAAAAAGAGCAGCGAACAGCAUCGCGUGCGGGCGGGUGUGCGGGAGCAACGUCCGCGAGAGGUGCUCGCGCCGACCUGA
rnacentral:lncRNA from 1 species